UACGGAGGGUGCAAGCGUUAUCCGGAUUCACUGGGUUUAAAGGGUGCGUAGGAGGGCAGGUAAGUCAGUGGUGAAAUCCUAGAGCUUAACUCUAGAACUGCCGUUGAUACUAUCUGUCUUGAAUAUUGUGGAGGUGAGCGGAAUAUGUCAUGUAGCGGUGAAAUGCUUAGAUAUGACAUAGAACACCAAUUGCGAAGGCAGCUCGCUACACAUAUAUUGACGCUGAGGCACGAAAGCGUGGGGAUCAAACAGG
rnacentral:rRNA from 1 species